AGCUUUUUGAAUCCGUGCUGAGAUUUCGUCAAACACCAAUGCAUUAAGGCUGAUCAGACUUCUAAGAAAAGUGAAGUU
rfam:Schistosoma mansoni, Puerto Rico, WGS project CABG01000000 data, contig: 0193